rnacentral:rRNA from 1 species
UACGUAGGGUGCAAGCGUUAAUCGGAAUUACUGGGCGUAAAGCGUGCGCAGGCGGUUAUGUAAGACAGGGGUGAAAUCCCCGGGCUUAACCUGGGAACUGCAUUUGUGACUGCAUAGCUAGAGUACGGUAGAGGGGGAUGGAAUUCCGCGUGUAGCAGUGAAAUGCGUAGAUAUGCGGAGGAACACCGAUGGCGAAGGCAAUCCCCUGGGCCUGUACUGACGCUCAUGCACGAAAGCGUGGGGAGCAAACAGG